rnacentral:rRNA from 1 species
UACGUAGGCAGCGAGCGUUGUUCGGAAUUACUGGGCGUAAAGCGCGUGUAGGCGGAUAGGCAAGUCUGCUGUGAAAGCUCCUGGCUUAACCGGGAGUGGUCGGUGGAAACUGCUUAUCUGGAGGACGGUAGAGGCUGGUGGAAUUCCCGGUGUAGUGGUGAAAUGCGUAGAGAUCGGGAGGAACACCUGUGGCGAAGGCGGCCAGCUGGGCCGGACCUGACGCUGAGACGCGAAGGCGUGGGGAGCGAACGGG